CCAUGGAGGCCAACUUUCAUCAAGAACUGUUGAAAGCACGCCUUUAGCAGUAUUUUCUAGUUUCUUGAAAACAAAAUAGGUUCUCUAAGAGUUCUGAGCCAUGGCAGAUGUUUGAAAUAGAUCUGAAAAAGAGCUACACAUGGUUGUGGUUGUGUCUCUACAACAAUACCACAUGUGAUUAAAGCAGGAAACUGUCUUUUAAUAGAUACUGUAUGUGGUGAUUACAGUUAAUCUAUUUCAGAAGUAAUGUGAUUUUUCACAUGAAGCCAUUGUAUUUCUUUCUCUGAUAUGUAACAAUACAGUAACAGGUGUAUCUUCUUCCAAAUUUAUAUCAUAACAUAUAGUGUUUUCCUAAUAGCUGAGUUGAAGCCUCUAACAGUCAGUGGACAGAUACUGUUCCGCUGUCAUACCUUAUCAUACAGUGCCUACCUUAUGAGGGUGUUGGGUUUUUUUGCCCCUUGGUCAAUACCAUGGCAAGACCUCCAUGCCAGGACCACCCUACAAAUUUAUCCAGAUGCUGCUUCCUGCAAAUUCCUAAUGAUCAGGAUCCUACAACCUUAUUGGGUAAUGCAUUCCCAAUCAUAAUUUUUGUUGCUGUUAAAAAGCUUUUCUUGGCUCUGACUUAAGACUCUCUUAAGUGAAACAGGGUACACUGUGGCCUCAUGUUUGUUCUCUUUGUAGAAACUUUCCUUCACCAGUGCAUCCCUCCACUUUUCAGUUACCUCAAGGAUGCCAUAUGCCUUGACAAGAGGCUGAGAAAUGACCUUGGCCUGGCCCAGAAGUCAUCGUUUUCAGUGCAGCUGCUUUCUGAAGAGCAUCUGAUCUGCAAAGCAGAAUCGCUUCUGACAGAGGAUGCUUCUAGGUGUGUGUUAGCGUUAGUGGCCAUCAAAGCACAGCCUGACACAUCAAGAGAAUCAGGAUCCUCUUCCUCUCGACCAAGGAAGAAGAGCAUGCACAAAGCUUUCACAGGAAAAACUAACAUUUUACUUUGUCUCUCAGAAAUAAUUUGUGUAGGAAUUUGAGUAGGAAAGAAAAUAACCUAGAUGACGUUUCUUGAAGGCAUUUGCUGAGACACACCACCACACUGAAUGUGGAACACCACUGGCAAGUAAUACAGCAUGGUAAAUGCCAGUCAAGUUGUUCUUUCAUCAAUGGACAUCAGUGCAUGAAUUAUAAAAUUAAGGAUAAAGAGGGCGUGUGUUUUACAUCUGCUCUCCAUGAAUGUCCCAUACCCCUGAGGGCUGACUCAAACGUGACCAAGUUUGGUGGCAUUGAGGAUGUCCAUUUCCCAGAGGAAAAGCAAGCAAGGCAAGAGCAGGAGACUGGGGAAGGAUGGAUACAGGGCAUAUUUCCAACCCUUCCAAAGCUGGGAAGAGGGGCAGAUCCCAGUCCAGCCACUAGCCCAGCAAACACCUGGGUAGGAAUACCAUAUCGCUACGCAGCACCGACUUUUCCCCGGAGCACCUGCCAGCUGGCAUUCAACAGGCAGCGCCGUCUAGGAAAAGAAAAAAACACGGGCGGGGCGGUGCCGCUGGGGGCGGCCCGGCUGCUGGCCGGCUCCGCUCCGCGCCCCGCCGGCUCCCCCUGCCUGCGCAGCACCUGGCAGCCGCCUGGCCGCCUUCCCCGUGCCCCGACGGCGGUGCGGCGCAAUCCGGGCCCGUGUUGAGCGCCGGUGGCCCUGCGCUCUCCGCUCAGGCACGGCCCCGCCUCCGCCCCUCGCCUCUAAACUCUCCCGCAUCGCGGCCUCCCCGCUUCCCCCUUCCGCUCAGGCCACGGCGCCCGCCAAAGGCACUGCGGAGGAGUGGGGCGGUCGCCCGGUCCUGGCCGGGCGCGGGGCGAAGGCCCGAGGCGGGGACGGGCCCUCCUCGGCCUCCCGCCGGUUGCGGCCUGCGCGCCUCUCCCGAAGCAGCCGAACGGGGCCGCCCGCGCGCGCCAAGCUGCGCGCUCCGCGCCCUCCGGCGCUGGAAAUGAAGGCGGGAGGACGCGGCGGGGGGAGCUCGGCGGCGGCCUGAGGGUCACCGGGGUGCGGGACCGAGCGGGAGCGCGGCCCUGUAUGUAGGAACGUCUGCGGGCGGUUCCUGUAUGUGCACCAGGAUGGCCGAGUGGUUAAGGCGUUGGACUUAAGAUCCAAUGGACGUAUGUCCGCGUGGGUUCGAACCCCACUCCUGGAAAGUAUCUCUGCAUUCCGGGGUUUGGAAGGGUGGGAGGCACAAACGAAGCGUGGAUGGACGCACUGUGAAAUAUGAGCGUUUGUCAGAGUGCCCCUGUCAAAUUAAUGCAGACAAAGCCUCAGAGAUAGUAUCUCUGGAGGGAGACACUGGGAACUAACCAGGGAGUUACUGACUGCUGUUUAUCUGUAAACCAGUACUUCUGGCAGCAUAUUCCUGAUUCAGCAUCCCUGACCACCGCUAUAUAUAUGGGUACCUUCUCUGGUCCAUGUGCAUAGGUCAUUACUUUGCCUAAAAAAAAACACUGUAUUUUUUUCCAGCAACUUAUUUUUGUAGCUAUUUGUUCAUGGAAGCAAUUUAAAGACUUCUAUUUGAUUCAUAUGAAUAUUCAUGUAAAAAUGUAACAGUUAAUUCUUAACCAGAUAGCUGACUUCCCAUAGGGAGAUACUCAUGUGAGGCACUUUCGGGGAUAUACCUUAUUAGCUCUGCUGCUGCAGCCAGUGUUUAUGGAUAUAAAUUCAUGAAUGCUAAUCCUGUGACAGUCUAUGUCAGCAGAUUGUUUAUCACUGAAGUUUUGGACAGGCACAGAAGCCUGCUUAUAUUAUGAAAGUUGUGGUGUCGGCACAAUAGUUAUACGCUUAAAAUUACUCUGCCUCAACAUCACCUCCCUCUAUUGAUCUUCAAACUAGCACAGAAUGAAACUGAAAAUGUAAGUAACUCCAGCAAAAUUCCAUUAUGGCCCUUGAAGAGUAUAGGAUUUGGCAGAGUUUCUGUGCAAAAGCAAGAUUACAAUGUUUUCCCUAUCUCACAGGAAUGUUUAAGAAGCAUUAUUGUAUUAUGAGAUGCAAAGAGACGUAAAUCUAUAUGGAAAAACCAAAAAAUAAUGUAUAAGCAGUUGGUCUCUGCAGAAAAAAGAGUCAUAGGUUGUAAACUCUUUGGAAAGCCCUUCUCCCAUACCACCAGGUCAUUUAAAUAAUGAAUUUUCAGGAAUUUCUAGAGUUGCAAAGACUAGACUGGCUGUAACUUUAUGUAAGGGAGAAAUGAAAUACAACUAGUAAUCUUGACUGUUUGAAGAAUAAAGGCCCAGCUAACAUUAACAAGGUUGAGCUGGAUGACUUUUGAAAAAAAUACAUGGAUUCUUUCCUCUGUGUUUUACACAGAAGACCUGAUGCAUUUCAGGUGACUGUUUGCAGGAUAGGUCAGUCUCUGAACAGGCAAACAAAUUCAUCUUCUGUGCCACUUGCCUUUCUUUCAGUGCUUGAUUUAUCCUUUCUGAUAUGUUGUACUAAAUCCCAGAUUUAGUCUGUGGGUGCAGACAGUUCCUGAAAGGAAUGAAGUGCCUUGAAGGCAGCAUUGCUGCCCCCUCCACAGAUAGAGCUGUUUCUGCUACAAAAAGGCCCGAGGAGCUGGGCAGGGGCCAGCAGGCUGGGUGACGUGACUCCUCACUUUAGAGUUACGUGUCUGUAUGGCUCAAUUACUGAACCAUUGCACUGUUUCUCUGUUAGGUGGCAGAAGUGUGUUUCUCUCAUGGUUUUCAGUAAGGAAACAAAUUCUGUGGUGUAGCUACCACGUCUGAGGUGAGCUUUCCACGCGGGUUGGUGAGAGAGGUGCAAUUAAAACCCAAAUGUGCUUUGUAUCAGUUCCCCAUUUUUUGUAUGAUUCCCUUACCACACUCAGUAGGAUCAUUCACUCCUUUGAAUGGUGCUUUUGUGCUGAUCUACCCUUCUUUUUGUCCAGAGAAAUUUCUGACAGUCCAUCAGUUUUCUGGUCAGCGUGAACAUCCCCAGAAAGCUGAAGGGGUAGGCAAGCAGGGCUGUGGUCAUUAGAAGAAAUUACCAUCCAGCUUUCAGCCUUACUGGCCAAUUUGUGCUUUCUGAAAAUAGCAGAGUGUGAUUUGGAGUGGGAAUCUGAUGCCCUCAUAAUUGCCUGUGACUUAGGGUUCUGUGGUUACGAUUCAGGGGGUCUGAAGGCUGCCAUUCUAUUGAGAAUAUUGGCACAAAGUCUGGGAAACGUGCACCGCUUCAGGCGUAUCCUGCAUUACACAGAACCAGAGAGCAGCCCCGGGGCACAGCAAACCAGUCAGACUCCACUAGAAGUGGAACUAUUUAUGGAAGUUGGCUAUUUUCUCUUGUGACUCAAGGAUGUUGUCUCUUGUUCACCCAGGCUCUGAGCCCUAUCACUUUGCAGUUAAAUAUAGCUUUCCCAGGUUUUCAAAUCAGCUGUUUUCCCAGAGGAAUGUCUGUUCCUGGCAUGCAGCCCUCUUUUAUCAUAACAAAAAUGAUCUCACUCACUGAGUGUUGGUGGCUUCUGGUAGAUGACCAGCAGCUUUAAAGAUGGCUGACCACCACCCCCAUCACAUCGAGGGCAUUGUGGUUCAGUUGAUCUGUGCUUUCCAAUGCCCUGUGCUUCCUAGUUUCUCCCUCCCUUGCCAUAAUCCACAGAGGAGGUUUGCCUUCUGUACAAUCUGUGGCAGGUGGUAGUAGGGUUCACAGAAGCAAGUGCAUGCACAGCGUGUGUUUUGUCAUGGCUUGUGAUGCCUACCUGUAUCCAGUUCUCAUAUGCCCAAUUGGCAGGGAUGGUGCCUCAGUGUGUGUGUCAAGAUCAAGUGCUGUUUUUAUAUAUACUCUGUAACUUAGUCAAAUACUGUGCUUGAAGGGAAAUCUUUUCAGGACUCUUGACUAAAUAAUAUCCCUAGAUGGCAUCUUAAAUACAUAUACUUCACAGUUAAUGUGUGAUAUAACUACUUUAAGAAACAACUUUCUUGCAUGUUUUUCUUUAUAAAAAACUUGAUUCCAUAUGAUUUAGUCCUCAAACCAAGCCUCAUAUUUACAUAACUAUUUGAAUCAUUCAGAGCUGCAAUACGCUUAUGCAUUUGUUACUGCAAGCGUGCCACGGCUAAUGAUGUUUUGCAGAACUCUUAAGUUCUGUUAUUCUCACUUCAGGUCAGAGAGAUCAGAGGUCUGGUGUUUUAAGGGAUUUGGCACUUUUAGAUAAAACGUGGUGCAUUCCACGCAUGUCCAGUCUCUAAAGAUAAGGAAGGAGGAAUAGGGUAAAAGCCUGAUAGCUCCUUGGAAAGGAUAGUCAGGAUGUAAUUUGCAUAAGUAAUGUGCAUUGUAAUUGUUUUCAUUCUUCAGUUUACCUAUGUUUUUGUUUUCUACUUGUAAUAAAACCUUUUUCACUUUUUUUUUUUUUUUAAUUGAUGAUGGGAACAUUUGAUGCCUGCUGUGUGAAGAUUUUGUCAUUAAAACAAUUGCUUCUGAGCAUUUCAAUUGUUCAGGCAGAGUCCUAUAAAUGAUUAUAGCUUUUGGGACUUCUAACUGAACUUACUUUAACAUAUGGUAACAGUAUUUGAUAGUUUCCUCUGGGAAUCCCACCCACCGUGUUAGCUGCAAACAGCCAUAUGAAGAAUGCUGUUCUCAUGUUUUAAACACUUGUAAUGCUGUCCCACCCAGUGUAACCUCAAUUUGAGAAUGACUUCUAAUCCAUGAACUAAGUAUUGGAGCUAUGUGUUACUGUCUCUCUGAUUAAAUGGCAUUUCUUCCAAUUAAGUUAGUACGGAGCUUCCUCAAUUUUACUCUUAAUAAAAAUACAAUCAUGUAAUUAUAAAAAAAAGACAAGUGUUCUGUCUGUUUUAUUAAAGAAAUGCACGACUGAUUUGCCUUGAAAGGGGAGUAUAGAAUUCUGUUAGUUCAAUCGAAUAAAAUAUGGAGUAUGACAGGAUACAUUUUCCUAAGUGAAAUAGAAAAUUGGCUUACGUUAGGUAAAACAUUAAUGGCAGUUUCAUUAAAAUGAAAUCUUAAUGCUGCAGUUCUAUCUUCACUGUAAUUUAAGAUUAGAAAUCUUUCUAGAAAUUCAGCCCAUCCUGCUAUAAUGCAGGACUGUUUUAAAACAGAAGCAAUUUCAUCAUUGCUUGUGCAUGGUUUGCAAAAUUCGGAAGUGUCCCAGGUUAUCCCAUCAUGAUAAUGCAAGAAUUUUUUUAUUUGAUGAGAAUCUUUGGAUGAUUUCUUCCGUAAUGUUUUUUCCUCUCAUUUCCAUACUGCUCCUUUGGCAUUUUGUACCAGAUGCUGUUCUGUCAUGAAAGCAACUGCUUCUUGAUUUUUUUACUUUUUUUUUUGUGCCUGAAAACUUGUCUACCUUUUCUGAGUGUAUUAGUUGGUCCAAUAAAAUCUAUUUCCAAUCUCUUCAAAUUUCAUUAUACUUUUCAGGUUGGAUAUUAGGAAAAAUUUCUUCUCAGAAGGAGUGAUGAGGCGUUGGAACAGGUUGCCCAGAGAGGUGGUAGAGUCACCAUCCCUGGAGGUGUUCAAGAAAUGCAUAGAUGUGGCACUGAGAGACAUGGCCAGUAGGCAUGGUGGUGGUGUGCUGAUGGUUGGACUGGAUUAUCUUGGAGGUCUUUUUCAACCUUAAUGAUUCUGUGAUCCUAUGAUUCUACUUCUUCUAUGGUGCAGUUUAAUGUUUGAGCGGGUUUAAAUGGCCAAAAGGAGUCAUGCUUUUUCUUUCUAUGCCCUUAGCAUCACUCUCCCAUAGCUGCUUUCAGUGCUGAAGCAGUUUGCUUUGGAGUCAGCUGAACAGCUGUGCUGGAGAAGCAGACCCAGUGGAAACACACAGGUGAGAAGAGAGUGAGCAUCUGUUUGGCUGGCAGCUGCCAUCUAGCUCAGCUGUGUCAUGGAACUGCUUGUCUGGAUGCCUGCCUGGCCUUGGAAGGUGCCAACUCUUUGGCUUUACAAAUCCAAAGCAAUCGAGUUGUUGAGGAACAAAGUGGAUUACAAAGGCCAUAAAAGGUGAAUAUUGUCUGAAGAUAAAGCUUGUGCAGUCAAGGGAGUCAGGGCCGUGAAGUUUCCAGGGAAGAUUAAAUGAUUCAGAAAGCAGACUCUCUUGAGGAUGCAUUGCAACAUAUGUUUUUUGAAAAAAAUGACUCCCCUGGAGCUCCCUUGCAAUCUGCAGACCUCCCCAGACUAAACCUAAGAGCCUUCUUGUAAAUAAAGAAGGAGCAGGCUCUGAAGGCCAUCGAGGCCUCUGUGAAAAGCCUCUUUGUGCCAGCGUGGGAGGGAUGGAGCUGUGGGUGCCAGCAGGAACACCAUCGCCAGCUGGUUUGGCUUUCCUGUACCCCAUAGCUGAGGGAGACCAGCAAAGUUACUGGCGUGUCUGGCAUGUGCAGAACCUGAUGUAGUUUUUGGGGCUCACUCCUGGAUCGCUUUCUGCCUGUCCUGGUGCAGGAAAGUGAAUGGUUUCCAGCUGAAACACUUGAUGGAAAAUUGCUGCUGAAGGAAGAAAAAGCAGAGGCGUAACUCUGGUAACAACAGUAAUGGUGCACUGGGGUCAAACCUGGUAAGGCUGAAGCUUGGGGUGGUGCCAUCCCACUGAACCUGUGCUGUGUGAGGGACACACAGGUGCUUCUGCUGCUGUCAGGCUGUGGGAUGGUGAUCCAGGGAUUCUCACUGGUUGUUCCGUUCUUACUGCACCAAGUGAUGAUCAGAAGAAAAUCUGAGCUCAGCACCAGAGGCAAGCUGAGUGUGGAGCUUUGGGAGGGGAGGCCCUGUGAGGAGAAUGCAGAGCGUGACUGAAUCACUUCACCACCCACUGAAGUACUCUACAGAUAAAGUGGUGGUGUUUAAUUACAAAGCUUGUACUGAAAUGAUGAAAUCCUCAAUGUAUAUAUGGGAGAGCACCCAAAAAUUAUUAACUUAAUAGUGACAGCUUUGGCUGUAUUUGAAAGUGUAUCCUAAAGGCGGAAAACAAUCCUUGGAUUUACAGGAUUUCAACAUCAGCUGUAGGACUUACAGGCUUCCUCAGUCAUUGUUGAAAAUGUUUUGUUUUCCUUCAUUUUUCAUCUUCUGAUUCGGUAACGACACUUUCCUGUUGCUAGUGCUCCCGUGUUCUGUUUAUUGGUUGCUGUUCCUAAAAAAAAAUCCAGGCUUAGAUUUUUGUGGGAAAAAGAUGUGGAGUAGGGAAACAGAGGAAGGCCUUUUGGAUGAUCUGUGGCAACUGCUAUUUUAAAAAGAACUAUUCAGUUUGUUUAUUUGUGUCAAAAACAGUGGAGGCCAAGAAGCUCUUACCCGCUUUGUUGUGAGGCUCAGGAUAUUUGGCCCGUGGUAUUUAUCCCCCUGCUGCAUGCUUUAUCUUCUGCUGGCCUCUGUGGAGGAUUUUAUAACACACUGCUUAUUUCACUCUAUUGCUCUGAGCUGUCAGCGCAGUUUUGCACGUGGAAUAUUUUAUAAAUAAAUCAUUAGUUUUCACAGAUUGAUCAUUUGGUCUUUGAAGUGGACAGAAUAUUUUAACGGCAUAUAAAUUCAGAAUCAUGAACUUUAAAAGUUGGGUUUGUAUUUUUGACCUGCUGUAGUUAGAAUUUAUGUCCAGGCAGGUACAAAGAGGAUGCACAACAGAAGCCUGGCUGACCAGCAGCUGUAACAGAGACUCAGGAGAUACCAGGAGGUGAGGAGCUGCUGGUGAGUCUGGUUGUCUGGUUGUAUCUGCUGGCCUCCGAAGGCCAUUCCAGCUCCUGUUAGGGCUUGGCAGACGCUGCUGGAGGCAGUCUCACUUAAAGCACCUCUGCACCAAUAGUUGUCAGCAUGGCAGGCUCCGGCCACCUCGUAACAUCCCUCUGGGGGCCUACUGUGACAUUCCUAACUGGGGAAUUUUAAGUUCUCUCUGUGUUGCAUUAACACAGAAUUGAGGCUUCACCGUUGUUUUUGGCAGAGAAGACCCUUUUGGGCUCAGCACUGCAUGGAAAAGGCAUCCAGGCAUUUGCCUCUCUCUUUUUAAGAGCAGGACGUACAGGAGCAGUCACACACCUCAUUCCACACUCAAAAUAGCAUAGCUCUUUCUAUGGAAAAGUAAACUCCCAGUUCCUGAGGGAAGAAACACUGAAACACUGCUGAAUAGUGCUGUAUGGACUUCAGUACCAUGCACACGACAGUGAGGACAAGCUUCAAGGGACAGUAACGACAAGGAGAGGCUGAACACACAGGGCUGCCUGCUGAGAACUGGGCUGUUGCAAUCAGUAACCCCAGUGAAAUUCUCCCACAGACAUUUGUAUCCAGAGCAAACUGUAGACUCCCUUAAACCAUUAUUACUAUUUUUUUCCUUCUGCACCUCCCUGCUUCACACCCCUUGUCAGGAUGAUUUCUGUUCUGUGCUGGCAAAGCGCUUUGGCUGGUGAUUGCUACUUCAGGGCAAUGGCAGAUGAUUUCAUAUUUUAUAUUUCAUAAUGAAUGUUUCACAAGAUUUGCUAAAAUUAAGGUUGUUUUUUUUUUUCUUUUUCCCAGCUAUGUUUACUCAUUGUACAAUUUCCUUUAUUGUUUUCUUUUUUUCCAUGUUCGUAGCCUCAUAUUUCAGACUAGAUUUAAACUCUGAAGCUCCCAGACUCGGGCACAUUUGUAUUUUUAACAUGCAUUAGUCCCAGCAGUAGCUACAUUUGCUGGAUGACAUGGGCAGAGUUUUGCAGCACCUCCUGCCCCAGCCCAGACACACUCUCUUGGUGAGGAACUUUGCUGCUCCAUGUUUACAUUUUGUCUCACACAAUGGCAGCUCGUCCUGGCGGAGCCCUUUGGUACUACUGUACUAUAAAUAAUCUGGCUCUGCUGUACUUGGUAAAUGUUUUUAAGAUUAGUUUGUAAGUCCUUCAAGUAUAAGUGCUUGGGUAUUAUGUUACAAUUAUGUUAUAAUGGCAUGGUACAGUGGACACUGUAAGAAAAAUCUUGGUCUAACAUGCUUGGAAAAUUCUUUGAAUGUACCAGUAAGACUUUAUUUUCUGAGGUACAAAGUUUGAGUUCUUCCCUUCAAACUAGCAUUGUUCCCGUCUCAAACACUUCGCCUCUGCAUGCCACCUCCAGUUAAAUACAUCAGUGAUGCAUUAAGUUUUUUUUGUUGUUCCCGUAUUUUCUUUUGACAGUAACUCCAAAAAAGGCUUUUUUUUCAGAGUAGGAAAAUUGUUUAAAUCAUCUUUUCAUUCAGUUUUGUGGUCUCUUUCUUCAUUUCAGUGAUUAGGGACUUGGCAGGGCUGGGCUUCUUUUUUGAUUUGGAAGAUAGCUUUGUUUUGGAACACCCCAAAAUAAACGAUGUCCAAAAGUU